rnacentral:tRNA from 1 species
GCCCCCGUAGCUCAGUCCGGAUAGAGCAGCGGACUUCUAUUCCGAAGGUCGGAGGUUCGAAUCCUCCCGGGGGCG